ACAGUCGCUCACUCACCACAGCAGUGCCCAGAUCCCCGACACAAUGGAGUGAGCGAAGGAGACGAGCAGGUUGUGCCAGCGCCAGGUGCGCAGGGGGUCGGCGCGCACGUGCACGGGUAGGGGCAGGCGACAGAGCGCGCGCCGGAGCGCCCGGAAGGUCAGCGUGGCGCCCAGGAGCAGCGGCAGGGCGGGGUGCAGCAGUCGGGGCAUGCUGGCCCUCCCUGCCGUCCGCCCUCGAGGCCGCCUCCUAGGUCUGUUCUGGGAACCGGGAUCCCUCUCGGGCCAGUCCAGGCCGGCCGCCUCUCCCGCCGGCCGCCAGCCCCACACAGUUGGCGAAGCCCUCUAGGCCCCUUGGCUCCUCCUCGCCCUCCCUGCGAGGCCUCUGCCCCCGCCCCCAGCCGCCCGCGCCCCCGCCCCGCCCGCCUGCCCCCGCCCCGUCCGCCUGCCCCCGCCCCUCAGGCGCUGCUGCCGCGCGAGCCGGGUGUCCCCGUGGCCUCUCGGCCACCGGCCGGCUCCCGCGGACUUCGGGUAACUAGGAGCUGUGCUGGGGGCGUCGUCGCCGAGACACCCCUCGCUGGCGCCUCCCGACUGCCGACGGAGUCCCCGCUGCCCUCGCUCGCCUGGCCUCAUUAACCCGCGUCCCCACUUUUCCCCGGGCCACCGGCUACCCCGCCCUGGGCGGGUACCGCGAGAGCUCUCUCCGCCCUCUACUUUCUGCGCAGAGCUGGACGGGACCCGACACGCCCACGCCCCCUAAGUCCUGGUCCUGGGGUGGGCUCCGGAGCCCCGCGUCCGACAGUGGUCUCCGUGCAGACCCAGUGCCCCUACCGCACCACUCGCAGUCUUCUGGCCGGAGUCCCGUGUUUACCUGUCCCUCCCGCGCCCGCGAGGUGGGCACUUGGGAACUGCUGAGUAACCCAUCGCCACCUCUUCCCGCCGGCUCUUAAACUCCUGGGGCCGGGCGGCUGUCACAGUCCUCCCUCAGACAGUCCCGGCCCUCGGCCCGGCUCCCCGGAGGCUGGGCAAGCAAGACCUCCGAUUUGCCGGGACAGCUGGAGUGACCCGCGCUCUCCAAGCCGGUAGCUUGCAGCAGUUGCGGCUCCUAGCCACUAGGUGUCAGCCUGCCCUCACUGUGGCGCGGGCUCCCCCUCCCGCCUCCGAGCGAGGCAGCUGCUUUCGGGGAGAGUUUAGGUAUAAACUCUGGGCGAAAGGAGGAGCAGCUGAGAGCCAGCGAGGGAAGUUAAGCGGAGAUGAGAGCGGGGAGGGAGAAGAGGGUAGUAAUAGAGGAGGGGCGGGAAGAAGCGGGGGAGGGGAAAGGUGCUGCGGGCGGGAGGAAGAAGCCGAGAAAACCUGAGGCGCAAGGACCCAGGGACCAAGCCGUUUGAGUGUUUUCCUCCCCUAUGGCUCCAAGGUUACACAUUAACCCCUGUGGGACUCUUAAGUCAACCAAAGCCCAGUCGGUUUCUAGAUGGAGGCUCACUCUAUCGCCCAGGCUGGAGUGCAAUGGCACGAUCUCGGCUCACUGCAACCUCCGCCUCCCAGAUUCAAGCGAUUCUCCUGCCUCAGC
rnacentral:lncRNA from 1 species